GUAGGGAAUCUUCGGCAAUGGGCGAAAGCCUGACCGAGCAACGCCGCGUGAAUGAUGAAGGCCUUCGGGUUGUAAAAUUCUGUUAUAAGGGAAGAACGACUUUAGUAGGAAAUGGCUAGAGUGUGACGGUACCUUAUGAGAAAGCCACGGCUAACUACGUGCCAGCAGCCGCGGUAAUACGUAGGUGGCGAGCGUUAUCCGGAAUUAUUGGGCGUAAAGAGCGCGCAGGUGGUUGAUUAAGUCUGAUGUGAAAGCCCACGGCUUAACCGUGGAGGGUCAUUGGAAACUGGUCGACUUGAGUGCAGAAGAGGGAAGUGGAAUUCCAUGUGUAGCGGUGAAAUGCGUAGAGAUAUGGAGGAACACCAGUGGCGAAGGCGGCUUCCUGGUCUGUAACUGACACUGAGGCGCGAAAGCGUGGGGAGCAAACAGGA
rnacentral:rRNA from 1 species